rnacentral:misc_RNA from 1 species
UUUUUUUGCAAUCAAAAAAUAACAAAAUUGCACAGCAAAUAAGGUGGAAAAUGGGAAAUAAAGGAAAGUCAGCAAAUUUGUUUCCAUUUUUGCAGUAUAUCUUUUUACAAUCAUAAAAUAACAAAACUGCACAGCAAAUAAAGGGGAAAAUGGGACAAAAAAGGAAAGUCAACAAAUUUGUUUCCAUUUUUCAGAAUUUUUUUUUAAAAAAUAAAAA